GGUAGACCGGGGACAAUAGAAACACGUCAUGAUUGAAACAAGUCAAAUUUCUCGAAAACUAUAAUACCUACGCGUCUGACGUAACACUCGGAACACGCGGUCGGCCAUGUUUGAAUCCUUGGCCAGUAGCGCUCGAGCGCCGGUACGAGACGGGAGUGUCCACGAGCCAAACCAGUUUUUCGCGGUAAAAAAUGCCCCGAAAACGGAAGCAUGUUACGGACAGAACCUCAAAAAGCAUGUUUGCCUAUCAACAGGCUCAUGAGGAAGUGAUCUCUGGAAAGUUUUUUGAUAGGCAUAUCGCCAUGUUUUUGUUUACGUAAUAAAACAAUUUAUACUGAUUAUUUUA